rnacentral:lncRNA from 1 species
AUUUUACAAAAUUUGAAUACCAGCUUAGUUUCUUUUGUUAUUGGUAAAUGUAUCAUUUUAAUAUAUAUCAUAAUCUGUGGAGACGUGGUUUGUAUUUUUCAGCAAAUGUUUUUUUUUAUUUAUUGAUCUGCGUUUAGUUUCUGUUAGUUGUUAAAACAGAGUUGUAAUGGGAAGAUUUGGUGAUUGGGGAUUUCUUUUUUGUUGCACACACAAAGAAAACUAACUCUAAACUUCCAUGCACGGGUAUUUGACUUGCACUGGUAUUUCAUAUUUACUGGCGAUGAACAGUCAUUGCAUGUGUCUUAAAGAACAUCUCCUCUCUAUCAUCCAUCUCCUUUUGCUAAGACCAUGUGCUCCUCUGAACUAGCUUGCAGUUUACAAUAGUAUCUCAAGCCACCGGAAGGUCGAGCUUCUCUUAAGGCAUGCAACGUUUGAUUGAUGAUAAAAUGUUAGUGCACUUCCAUGAAAACUGCUACACAAUGUCUCAAUAUACAUAUCAAAUAUUUAAAGCGUUAAAUGAAUAGAAGAAAAAUCUACAUUGAGUUAAAAUGGUAUUUUAUUUCAGCCAAAAUUGGAUUUAGGUCUGAUAAUAAAGAAAUACACAUCAAAUUUUAAUUUUCACUACCAGCAUUCAGCUAUGUUAAUCUCUCAGCAGUUCUUUGACAAUUAGAGUGUCCUCAGCUGUUUUCUCUAUCUUAAUUAAGGGAAUUGUAGUCCGUACUGUCUCAGUCAACUGGUGUCUUUGAGAUUUUGUAUUUUGAGCAGGAAUAUUGGACAGUGAUCUCUUUACUUAUUAACGUGGAGUAGUAAAUAAACCGAAUUAUUUAGUGCUAUGUUUCUCCUCAAUACGCUUCGCAUUCAAUUCUAGCUAAUGUGAAAUGUGUUUUCUACCACCCAGAUUCAAUAAAAUAUGUACUGGGACAAUUUCGGUCAAUACACCUGGCUAAAUAAAAUUUUAACUUUGUAACAGUUGAAAAAUCCGUUACAAACCUCCCCCUGUCUCUCUCUCCUUCUCUCCCCAACUCUUUCUCUCUCUCUCUCUAUUAUACACAAUAAAGAACCUGCUCUCUUAUCCACAGUAAAACGUAUCUUUUGUAUACUUGACUUGUACUCGAAUUUCGUAAUAGUUGACGAUAUAUAUUCAUUUCAUUUGUCUAAAACUUUAUUUAUCCCCCCUUUAUUUCCAUGAAAAGUAGUCUACCCGCUGUUUAUUCUCCCUCUGCUUCUACUACAUAAUGCUUUGUACUUCUGUUAACUAGUUCGAUUGCUUACAAUCGAACUCCAAAACACUAGAUGUAGCCACUCUUCCUGAUACAAGAAGCCGCUCUCCAUUGUUAUGAUAUAAGUGUCUAUUGUUUCAGGAAUUAAGAGGAUGAAUCCGUGAAGAAAGUGUUGGUUCUGUGAAUUGCAGUUGCUAUGAGUUAACAGGAAAAUUGUGAUUGUGCAUGGCACUACCAGUUUAAUGGAAAUGGCACCUAAGAUUAAUGUCAAUGUUGACGCGCUUGUUUCAACGCAGACCAAUCGAGCUUUGAAAAGAUAAAUAAUCAAAUGCGUUCCAACCGCGACCGUCAGACCUUUUUGUAUAUCAUGAAUUACAUUGUCCAAAUGUUUCCUUCUUCUUUAAAGAGCCUGGGCUUUUGUUUGCUAUUUCUGUCAAAUCGAAUGCUUAUGCUGUAGGAGCUCGCUCCUUGCUUCAUUUAAUAUAUAUAUAUAUAUAUAUAUUGCUGUCAGGGACACACAGUAGAGAUGGUCACAUGAUACAACCCAUCGAAUGGUAAGCUUGCUGACCAAACUUGACAAACUCCAAUUUUAUAUAUGCGUAUAAAACCUAAACCCACAAUUCCACCUACAUAUAUAUACACAUAAAUAUACACACGUACAUUCAUACAGAAACUAGCCUGCAGGUAUGCUUCCUCUACCAGCGCCUCAGUUUUCUUGGCCACUAACAUAAACACUAACAUAAACACAUCCACAGACGCAAAAUAUAGAAAUAAACACACGCAAACACGAACAUACAAGAUUACGAAUAACGCCGUUAGCCGUGCUUCGUAUGUACAAACGGCAUACAUCAUCCAUAGCCACACACAUAUACAUGCAUAUAUGCAUACAUACGCACAUACAUACAUAAAUACGUACAUACAUAGAUACAUACAUACAGACGGACAAACAGACGUACGUAAGUACAUACACGUAUACAUAUAUGCACAAGAACUUACACGAACAUUUCACUUCCUCCAGCAAUUCCCCACCAUCACUGCUACCACAGGCGCCACAUACACAUACACACAUGCACGAAUGUACGCACACACACACACACACACACACACGAACCACACACACGCACACGCAGACACAAACAUGUACAUAACACUGGUACAUACAGCUACACGUGCAAGUACAUUACCUAUACCAUCGCCACAAACACUGCCUUCACACAAACGAAGACGAUGACGAAGACGACAACGCCGACCACCACCACCGCCGCCGCCGCCGCCGCCGC